CGGCCUACACCACAGCUGCAGCAAUGCCAGAUCCGAGCCGCGUCUUCAAUCUGCACCACAGCUCACGGCCAAACAUCUUGUGUUAUUCGUCAGUACUGAGUUGUGGACUGUUUCCACACGGUGCUCCUCCAUCAGGCUGCAGGGUGCCCCUGUGAGUGCCAAGACGGUCCAAUUUCUUACCUUUUCUGGCAUACCUUCUAAAGGGCAUUGUGCAUGCCAGUUGCGGUUUGUGGCAUUUGGAACACAUAGCACAUUUAUUUGGGGCAAAUGUCUGCGGAUGGCACUUUCUCCAGGGCGUCCCUGUGCCCAGAGCAGCAGCUGCAGCGUGUGCACCCAGGCUGCCCUGUCUGUCCGAGGGAUGCCCCUCUCUCCAGCCCCAGGAGCUGGGAGCGUGCGCCUGACUCGGUCUAGUCCCCUGAGAGUGCUUCUCUGUGAGAACCCGGAUGUGAGACACGAGGACCCUGAGACAGACGGGGAUGGAGAGGUGGGCCGAGAGGUGCUUUAACCCUCCGGGGUUAAUCCUAUGGGGCCUGACGCCGCCGCCUUCAGGCUGAAGAGGUGGGGGAGCAGAGAGCAGAGGAGCAGGAGGCCGGCAGUAGCCGGGUCCACCUGCAGGCAGGGUUGAAGGGUCUUGGGACACAGAGCAGAACAGCUUCUGGAUAAAGACUGCCCACAGAUGCUUUUUUUUAAAGCAUUAUCGAAGAAUCAAUGAAAUAUUCUAAAACUUCCCAAUGUCCGUUUACUGCUUUUUGUCAGGCAUCUCGCCUUCCCCUAAACUCUGCGUGCUGCUCCUGACAUGUGUUAUUCCUUCUGCCUGAGUUUUCUUCUGUUAGCUUCUUUCAUGCGUGCAGUUCUACUAAUGCGUCAAGACCCAGAUCAACGUACAGCAUCCUCCAGAAGUCUCCCUUAGAUGUGGAGCCAAGGAGACCCCUCCAGGUCCUGACCUCCCCAGUCCCCCCCGUCUCUGCCCAGAGCUGUCUGGUUUCAGAGCUAUUUACACACAUCCUUCUCUCUAGUAAUCCACCACCAGCCUCCUAGGGGCAAAUCUCUUUCUGACUCUCUGCUGGGUCUCCCACGUAGCGGCUCAGAACACAGUACAAAGCAGCUGUUCAUUAAAUCUAUUUAAAUGUACCAAAGACCGAAGGUCUCAUCGGUCACAAGAUCUCAGGAUCAACAUUUUUGGUUUAUACUCAGUCUCACCAGAAUUGUGUCAAAUCACGUGCUCAGACAAGGCUCUUUUCUCCAGGCCUCCCAUCUUUAAAAGAAACUACACGUGGUUGUCCAGCCACAAUGGGGAAACAUUUUCCCUUUAAUCUUAUGACAAAAGAAUUUUUUAAAAUCCUAACAUUGGCUGAUUUUUGAGCUGGAGCCAUCUUCCUAGUUUCAGAGUAAUGAAGCAGGUCCCCGAGGAACCCAGCCUGCUCGCUUGAGAAGCUCCUGGGGCUGGCAGGUGGCUGGUGGGGAGCAGGGUCAGGACACAAACCCGUGUGUGAGGACGUAGCCCUUCCUGCCCAUUGAUCACGCUGGCCUGUUGAUGAAAACAAGCCGAUCAAGCACUUUGAAGUGGCAGUGUUGCAGAGAGAGCUGGAGGACGGAAGAGCUUGGAUUCUUGCCCCUCUCUUAAUUGCUUGAAAGAGGAAAAGAGGAAACAGGAAAAAGAAAAAAAAAAGCUCUCAGGCUGCCGGGCUGUGGCCGACUUCGCUGUGUGGGUGCGUUAAGCCCCGGCCAAGUGCGUAGUGAGCGCAUGAGCAAGAAUAUUCAAGAUGCGUGAGACAGUUACUUGUUGUUGGUUCACUGAUUGCCUAGCGUCAUUCUGCACUGCUCUCUCAAAGGAGCUAGCCCGGUGAAAUGAGAUUUUAAUAAGAGGAAUCCUUACAGCGCGGGGUUGAACAUUCAGGAGGCCGUCUGCCUGCCCCAGCGAUGCUGAGCCAGAACACGAUCCGAUUGGAAAACACGAUGUUUAGAUACAAAUGUGGCCCUCUUCGUCUGCAUUUUUCCCCCUCCAGAGGUUGCCUAGGAGGUUUGUGUAAUUGCCUUGUGCUCGGGAGCCAAGUCUUCACCACCAAAGACGGUGUUGCCAAUGUGAACUUUGCAGGAAAACAAAUCUGGUCACGGCUCCCUCCUUCUGGAGGCUCUUGCUGAGGUCCUUAUCCCCUGAAUAAAAAUGUCCAAGGAAACCAUGAAAAAGCACAUGCUUCCAAGCGACGGGGAAACACGGCCUCUCUCCUCUCCUUUCAAGCCGCGUGUCCACCAGGACAGCCACGGGCCCACACACCCUGCAGAGCCGUAUUUCUUUGCCCAGGAGAAGACAAACCGGCACUUAAUGGGAAAAGAUAUAUAUUUGUUCCAGCACAUCAAGGACAAAAAUAAAACGAGACUGGGGGAAAUGGUUUCUUUGCAAGGCAGCUAUUUAAUUGAUCUAUUUGGAAUUCAUAUGCCCUGUUGCUGCAUGCUAAUUGCAAGCCAUUUUGAAGCAGAAUCAGCUUGGAUCACAACUGAUUUAAGGCCAUGGAACUGGCCUGGCCAGCUCGGGCGAGCGGUGUACAUGAACUCCCUGGUUUUACCAGGCCUGGGGAGAGAGGACUUCUUUGGCGAAGGCAGAACAACAAGCCUAAAACUCCAGGGGUGACACAGACCUUGGAGGCCUUUCAGAAGCAACAAGCCAAGUUUUGUUUUCUCUUCCUUGCAUCCCUACAGCAGCGGGUAACACACUGGCACCGCACCCCCUACCCACAAACUCCCCCGCCCCCCCCCCCCCCGGCACCAGAGCGCUCUCAGCCGCGUCUCCAUCUUCAAAACAGCCUUCUGGAAAGACGGAUGGCAUGACCUCCAAUCUAACGGCCAACUCCAGACGCCUGGCAACACCCCCGCUGCAGCUUUAUCGGGCAGCAUCACACAGUAAUAAAUAGAAAUUUCUCACCAGUCCAUCUUGUGUACUGAGAGCAGCGAUCCUCUCCAGCCUGGGGGAUCUUGGCACAGAGACAAAAUCAACCACACAGCGGUUCUCAGCUCUGUACACCCGACUGUCCUAUAACCAAGAGCCUGUCAGGUCCACUGUGCAGCCGUGGUUUUCACAGACAGAUGUUUGCAGUUUGUCUCCCAAGGUGACGCUGACUCAAACAUCAGGCAGAUUUAUUCCUUCUCCAUCCUCCCGCCGCUCAUUCUCAGGUUUUAGAUUUUCUCAUUGAAUAGUUGAAGCUGUGUUAUAUGCUUUCUAUAAAUCUUCACGAAGUUUCUCGACCCAGGGCCGUACAUAUUGAGAACUGCUAUCUGUUACCCUCUGAGGAACUGAGUGAUGUAUUUUAUGUUAUUUUAUGUUAAGAUUUCUAUUUUUUCUAUUAUAGUUCUGUCAAUUUCUGCUGUAUGUACAGCAAAGUAACCCAGUCAUAUAUAUAUACAUUGUACAUAUACAUUCUUUUUUUCUUGCCGUAUCCUCCACCAUGUUCCAUCACAAGAGACUAGAUAGAGUUCCCUGUGUGAGUGAUGUAUUUUAGAGUUCUGUGUUAAUUAAUCCUCUUCUACUUUUUAAAUUCACAAUGCUCACAGCCUGACUUUUCCCCCUGGAGAAGAGUUGGGACAAGCAACCUGGGAGCCCUGACAUUGACCGACCUAGAGACAUGAGCAAUAGACAGGCAAACCGUCUGAUGAGGAUAUUUUGCAUGCGUGUUGCCAGUGAUGCAAACCGAUGUCAAGCCAAGCAGUGGUAAUGCCGUCAUUUGACCAACAGAAAAAUACAAAUAAAGAACACUUUAAGAUUUGUAUGCUGCUAUCAUUUACUCAGAACUCCCUUUAUCCCAGGAAGAGAAACAGAGAUAAACAGUUUCUGCAGUUGGACCAUGUGAGUUAACAUCCCGAUUGACCGUCACUUGCAGAGGGCACAAGGGGCUAUUAUUUAGCCUGUCUGAGCUCAGGAGCCUGGUCUGGAAAAUAUACAUAAUGACAUCUCCCUCCCAGGCUAGAUGUAAAGCUGUUAGCACAGCAUCCAGAGCCUGACUGGUGUUCCGUGAGGCUGUUCGGGGGGCCCGAGUUUCCUCAUGUGCCCAGAGCUUUGAAGACCCUUGUCUAACCCAUGUUCGCCCUGCCCCUGUGCCGUGGACGCACAGGUUUGCUGACAUGCUUCCAUAGUCCUGCCUGACUUUCCUCUUCGCCAGGAAGCACUGCUUCGAACCCUCUUGGGUUCAGAGCUGCCUUCCCUCUGUGAUUCAGCCAUUCUAUAAACGGAUCGCCUGUCGUCUCCUAAAGGCGUUUGGUCUUCUCAAGAGGAUGUGAUGAAGCCAAUGAAGGGAAAAGGCAGUCACUGCUUCCCAAAUGACAGCCCACAGGAGACUUCGUCUUUUAAUUACCACGUCGUUUGCAGGUCUAAUUGCGCAGUAAUUGCCUGAACACAUGUAGCGACAAGGUGUGUUUACAAGUCACUGGCCGUGCAAUAAAUGGUCCACUGAUUCACGUUGCUCCCAGCCUGCUAUGGUUUUGAAGAUUCGAAUGCCAGCCGUCUUGAUGGGGAGCUAAAAGGGCCCGGGAUCUUUAUCUUCAGCGUCUCCUUGAAAUCUGCUUCCUCCCGUGUCCUUUCAGAAGGAUAUUCUGAUCAGGGCCUAAGGUCCUUUGUUUACUCCUUUGCUCUGUAAACUUCACAUAAGCUUUACUUCAGCAAGGAUGUAAAACAGACACUAACAUCUUGAGGCUUAUUCAUUCCUCAGGAGUAUAUUAACAAGAACGGACCGCAGCUAAACAGCUAGUGUUGACUAGGGCAUGUCUGUGUGUCUCUGUGACUUUAGCCUGACUACAUGCUUUAAGAAGAUUUAUUGGGAUGUCUCAUUAGGGCCAGACAUAAGGAAGUCAUCAAGUAAAGAUUAAUCAGAUGGAAACAUGUUAGAAUUUUUCACUCUUUUUUUUUUUUUUUUGCCAUUACGUAUGACCGUGAGAUUAUUUGUUUUUAAUAGUGACUUGGUUCUUGCAUAAGAAAGUCAUUGACUUUUGGGGAAUCAGAUGGUUGGUUUGCAACUGCGUAUCAGCAGCGUAUGUAUGGUUCUUCUGAUCAAGUGAAGAUCUGGGGAGUGAAACGCAUAAAGCAGUGGAAAGUUCAGAGAGAGAUGUUCGAAGGUAGGCUCUGCCCUCUGCAAGUUGCCUGACAACUCCCUGCCAUGCACAAGGCCCCAGCUUCUCCAUCCAGAAGAUGACGGGUUUGCAAAAGAUCAGUAACUUGCAGAGAAUACUAUCUGCAAAGCCCGGGGGCUCACAUCCUGUAGCGGCUCAUCCACCCCAGGUUCCUCAACAGGCCAGCUCUGCUUUCAUCUGCUGGUGCCCUGGGCUUCCAAGUUCAAUUAUAAGCAUAACUAUUAUAAAGUAAAGUAGCUCUAAAUUAUGUUGCACUAGCUCUGGACUAGAUCACCACACUGUCACUCUGAGUUGUUCUUACCUUUUUUGGAGCCAAAACUUAUGCUCCAGGAUGUGUGCAUUUGGGAGCUCCGGAAGGAGAAUGAAAGAGAGAGAGAGAGACUGAAAGCAAAGAAGGACUCGCUGUGGCACCUGCAAAGAAGCAGGUUCAUCCUGGGCUGGAUGCAGCCCCAUCAAAGGUCGCUUUGGCCACACUCAUGGCGUGGCGACACGAGGCCUGAACGUUUAGCUUGCCACCCUAGGUCCCUCUGGGUCAGAUCAAGACCUGGAACUAUUCCCCAGGAGCAAGCCCAGACUCAGACUUGUGCAUCCCUGCAGCGGCGUGAGGAGCCCCCGGCUCUCCGCGAAGCAGAGGCGCUGGAGGACCCACAGCCUCUCCUCGGCCCUAAGCAGCACUGGGAGCUGGGAGGCCCGCUCUGAGGAUCCCACUUUGCAGGGAGGGAGGCAGGAGGGAGAGGCUCACGGAGCCCCGCACAUGACCUGGGCAUUCGCUACAGAGCUUCCUCCCAGUAACAAAACCCAAGAUGUCUUUCCUCAGCAAGGCUGUCCUCGUGUGUGACCUGGGCUCAUGGGCUGGCUGCCUGGGGAUGGUGCUUGUCCUGGCCCAUGAACAGACAGCACCUCUUCCUUCCCGAUGACAGCAAGGACUACACAGCACACGACGAGUCAUCCUCUGCCUCUUGGGACUUGACGUCCUGCCAAGGGCUGAAAAGGGUGCCUCGCGGACAGGUGUCCCCAGCUUGCCUGCUGCUGGGCCCCAGCCCCUCUUGCCCUCAACAACACAUCUUCGCUUCCCUAGGGGCAUCUUCGACUCAAUGCACCCCCCACCCCCACCCCGCCCCGGUCGAUGUGCUUGGAAACACUGAGUCCCAGCCAGACCAUCUCAGUGCUGAAGGAAGCAAAGCAGUGAAAAGAUGAAAAUAUGACCUCAGGGGCCGUGGCGGCCAAGUGGAGACUUGAGACCUCACGGCCAUGGAGGGAGAAAGAGGGGGACUUUUAUAAAACCAUCUGGCAGAUGACCAGCCACCCCCUCGGUGUGUCCCAAAGGGUGAGGGGUCCGGCCAGGAUGGAAACCACACCACAAGACUCCACCCCAGGCUGGAUGCACCCAGAAGGACACCCAAAUCCUGCACCUGUGCUCUCCAAGUGUUAAUAAUGAGAGACAAGGCUUAAGUUAGCCAGACUGUGCAUCCCAGACGCAUGAGUGUGCAAACCACAGUAAAACACACUUGGGAUUUUUCUUUGCUUAUUACAUCUGAGGUGUCCUAAAGAACAGUCCCUAAAAAGCAUGAAAGGAAGGCAAAUUCCUGAUGUUUGCUGCCUGUGGUUAAAAAUAGAUGGUAAAAGAUCUUGAUGUGGAAUCUACAAACUGACAGAGGAAGGUGGCAGGGCUUAGUGGUGAGGCCUGUAUCAGAGUCUGCAGAAUGACAAGGCAGCGUCAUAUCCUGCUGGGAGUCCUGGACUCGCAGGGCAUUUAUUACACACCAGGUGCAUUACAGACUAGCUGUAUCAUACGCCACAGGCAUUACAAACUGCAUGCAAUAUACAUCACACACAUGACAAGCCACAUGCAUGGCACACUACAUGCAUAUGCACUGAGUGUAUGAUACCCUAGGUGCUCAAAUUGUGUCAUAACAAGCAGAGGACAGCAGGGAGGAAGAGGACACAAGCAGAGCAACGAGAUCUGUGCCUUCAGGGGCUUGGAAUCCACCUCCAGAGAAGCAACUACCUCCAACAACCAAGGCACCUGUCCGUGCUAUGUGGGGUGACUCUUACUGUCACAUGUGCUGGCAUGUCCAGGAAGUCUUCCAGGAGAACUUGAAGGGAUCGGAGCUGCAGCUCCAGACUGGCCGGGGUGUGCGUGGAGAGGCUUUGCUGUGGACAUGGUCACAGACUUGGCGUCACUUGGUUCACUGACUCCGACUAGACUGCAAAUUAGCGCGAGUGCAGGAAAAUGGAAUAAGCCAAGGGUCAUCAACCGUGGGUCAUAAAAAGCUCAAUUUUUCUGAAGAAAUUUAUUCCCUUUGUUUUUCAAAAAUAGUAGAUAUGAAUUAUUGGAUGGGUGGAUCCUUGAGGCCCGGAGGAGGGGCCUGGAAUCUCAGCUCAACCUCUGGGCAACAAAACAGAAAAUCCCCCAAAUCGGAAGACGAAACCAGCCACAGCCAAAAGAUCGCAAAUUGGAACGGGAGCACUAAGAACAUCCUGAUCUUACAGCACCGUGGCGCCAUGCUGUCCCCUUCUAACUUGACACAUAUCACGUACCGUCAUGGCUGAGCCCAUCCCUCAUGCAAAUGUAUGAACUUGAUUUUGCUUGAAACCGCUUAAUAAGCGGGACAAAGGUACCGAAGGACAAAGGUUCACACCCACUGGAAACAGUACACCUGGGAGCUUUGCAUCUGAAUCCUUUCCAGUGUGUUUUAUGACGUGCUACUUUUACAAGAAAUAUUUCUGUAGCUAGAAAAAAAAAAAAAGUCCCCUAUAUUCUCA